ensembl:ncRNA T06F4.10 ncRNA
GACUAAAUUUCGCAACGGACGAUGCAAAAAAAAGUGUGAAAUGUUUGAGCUCCCAUCGAGCAAGGGGAGCCCUCACCUUUUUUUUCCGGUGCCCGCGUCUCUUGCGAAGUGUGUAUUAUCAAGAAAUAGUGGUCGGAGAAUGAGAAUUUAGAGUUUGGUCGCAACUUUUUUUGCAUGUGAUGACGAGACCAUUCAUUCAGAAAAUUGGAACGGC